AUAGCUGAGGGAGUCUGCACUCCCCAGUCCAUAACUAAGAGCUCCAGCGCUGUCUAGCUCUGGAGAGGAUGCACGCCAAGUAGAGUCCUCAAAAAUCGGACUGCUUGCCGUUCCAUAAAAAUCCCCAAAAGUGUUGGCAUGAACACCUUGUGUUGGAGCAUAUGAUGAUUUAGCAUCAGCGUUGCUUCUUGCAUUUUGUCCAUACCCUGCCCCACCUGCAAAUCCAUUCUGUCCACCACUGAAAGUGAUGUUGUCAUCGCCAAAAGAACCGUUACGUCCACCUUGGCCAGAAAUUGGAGAGGUACCCCAUGUUGUUCCAAGACCUCCAAAAGCACUAGAUAGUCCUGUAUUCCCGCUUCUGGAACCAGCAAACAUGCUACUGUUUGCAUAAUUUGUACCAUGAAAAAGACUAUCAUUCUCCCACUUGUUCUGACCUGUUGAAUUCAACACAGGACCAUUUUCAACUCUUCCAGGGGCAUGCCCAACAGGGAUAUUGUAUUUGUUUGGAUUCUCGUUGUGAAAGGAAUUUAAGUUACGUCCAUAACCAAGAACGGAACUGAAUUUUCCACUUCCUCCAUAGCUUGAGUUCAAUCUGGAGUCUAUUUCUGUUCCCAUAUUGUAGUCAGCUGGACCAAACAAAGAGUAUCCAUUGCGACCAACAGAGAUUGGAGAAUAUCUACCUUCUGUUCCGACUCCAUAGUUUCCCAUCAGGCUUGGACUGUAACCUUGAGUAUACACAUUAAGGAAAUUGUUUACCCUGUUCAUGCCAUGGUUAUAUCUACCUACUAAUUGGCUUUGGGUUGGCCCACGCGAUAACUCUUUUGGAACAGCACGCUUGACUUCGACCCUUUUACCAUUAAGUUCAUGAAAUAUUUUGUAUAGUACACUAUCAACUGCUUCCUCUGAGUCAUACGUGAUGAAUCCAAA
rnacentral:misc_RNA from 1 species